rnacentral:rRNA from 1 species
GGCCACGCCCGUCCCCAUACCGAACCCGGAUGUUAAGCUCUUCAGCGCCGAUGGUAGUCGGGGGUUUCCCCCUGUGAGAGUAGGACGCCGCCAAGC